rnacentral:rRNA from 1 species
UGAACGCUGGCGGCGUGCCUAAUACAUGCAAGUCGAGCGAACAGACGAGGAGCUUGCUCCUCUGACGUUAGCGGCGGACGGGUGAGUAACACGUGGAUAACCUACCUAUAAGACUGGGAUAACUUCGGGAAACCGGAGCUAAUACCGGAUAAUAUAUUGAACCGCAUGGUUCAAUAGUGAAAGACGGUUUUGCUGUCACUUAUAGAUGGAUCCGCGCCGCAUUAGCUAGUUGGUAAGGUAACGGCUUACCAAGGCGACGAUGCGUAGCCGACCUGAGAGGGUGAUCGGCCACACUGGAACUGAGACACGGUCCAGACUCCUACGGGAGGCAGCAGUAGGGAAUCUUCCGCAAUGGGCGAAAGCCUGACGGAGCAACGCCGCGUGAGUGAUGAAGGUCUUCGGAUCGUAAAACUCUGUUAUUAGGGAAGAACAAAUGUGUAAGUAACUAUGCACGUCUUGACGGUACCUAGUCAGAAAGCCACGGCUAACUACGUG